rnacentral:rRNA from 1 species
UACGUAGGGGGCAAGCGUUGUCCGGAUUUAUUGGGCGUAAAGAGCGUGUAGGCGGCCAAGCAGGUCCGCUGUGAAAACUCGAGGCUCAACCUCGAGACGUCGGUGGAAACCGUUUGGCUAGAGUCCGGGAGAGGAGAGUGGAAUUCCUGGUGUAGCGGUGAAAUGCGCAGAUAUCAGGAAGAACACCGAUGGCGAAGGCAGGUCUCUGGGCCACUACUGACGCUGAGAAGCGAAAGCGUGGGGAGCGAACAGG